CGAGGAAGCCGUUUUCUCCUUACUCUCACACUCCAGCCAAGAACAGUUCACGAUCUUCUAGCUCCGCAUCGAUUGGCUCAUGAUCAAUCUUAGAUAUUGCAAGGUAGUUGAUUGUGAUUUUGGCUAGUGUAGGAUGACGACGAAGAGUUAAGAUAAGAAAUAUACAUUAGGUCGUAGAAAUAAAGGAGUUUAAAAUAAAUUAUCUUGCACGUUUUGGAAACGGCAUUACACAGUCGGUAUUGUUUUUUUAUUUUUAUGUUGAUUAAUUUCGGAACAUGUUUAUGAUGAAAGUAAGCCGUUGAAUUUAUGUCAGACGUUUUCGGUGUUUUGUUGUGUGGGCAAGUAUGGCCAAUUCACCCCCUAUUCUGAGAAAGUCUGGUUCUGGGGUACAGUGACAUUCUUUGGUACAUGAUAAAUGACCACUCUGGUGCGACAUCUGAAUAGAAAAUUGUUCAUUUAAAAUUCACAAUUCACAUGUCAAACUGAUUGGAAUUCUUUCACACGCGGAGCUACAAUUGGACUAAAGGGCAACUGGUGUCUUUGUUGUCGGGAGAGUCUUUUGGUCUCUAGAGAAAAUUCAGUUAACUUAAGGUGCGUGAACAAAAAGAGGAAAAGUGGCAGCUGAGAUAUUUUACAAGAAGUGAACCAAAAUGUGAUUUCCAGAGAUCACAGGAUAGAGAAAUAAAUGAAUCAACAAACGGAUUGCACAUAGCCCAUUACGUUAUUGUAGCUUGUGACAAAUAGUAAACAUUCCACAAGAAAGCGUCAGUAUUUUAUAAGAUAUGCUUCACCCAUGCAGAGAGAAAAUUUUCGGAUUUCCUCAUUUCUUUGUAGAAAACGUGACGCCCCGCUCCACGCAGGACGUGUUAGGCAAUAGUGACAUACAUGCUAUGUAGAAAAUUACAAUAAUUGCUACAAAAUUGAUAUGAUCCACUUGUACAAUGUAUCAUAUAGCCUACAUUCCUGAUUUACCGCCGCUAGUUGCAGUGCGGAAAUGAAACGUAUUGUACAAUAUUUUUCAAUAUAAUUUUAGCUUUCCCAUGGCAUUGGGACUGAUCCAAACGUGCAGUUGGGCGUGCCACAGAGGCACAUUGUUGCAAUGCUACAAUAGAGUACAGCAUACCAAGAGGCAAUAUUGCGCUAUCGGAUUCACGCUGGAUCGUUGUAUUACGAUUACAAAUCACAAUAAUGACACCUUCUCACCAUCAUUUUAAAUCGUCAGUUUACUAGACAAGUUCCGUUCAUUGGUCUGCCCAAUUUUCUUUUCUUUCCAAUGCUCAUUUUUGUUCACUAAUGUAGCAGCACAAUUGCCAGUAUAAAAACGUGUGGGCAGUGGAAGUUGGAGCAUGUGGAAUUUGCAGCACUCACAGCGGGAAAUGGAGGCUGCCGAGUUCAAAGCCGCGUGCCCCUACGUGACACACCAGCCAUUAAAAUAUCUUCCCGACCGCACGUUUCUACCCUAACAUACCCCAAACUGAUUUCAGAAAGUCGGGCAGAAAAGAAGAAAUGAGCGCUGGCUGUAGUAGGCUAUUGUAUAUGCAUAGAUUGUACACAAGCGUAGGCCUAUAACACCGGGAAAAAAGCUCAGAAGACCCUCCAACAGGUGGGGAAGGUGGAGAACGAUUUGUAGAGUGUCGGUGGAUUAGCGUAUAGCGCUUUGCCACGCCCACGUGAGGUACGGGUGGCUUUUGGCUCGCAGCCCUGUGGGAGUCUGGCAUGAUGUGCAUCACCAUGACACAGGCCGCCAUCUCGACGGGGAGUUUCGGCACCGCAAGACAAGAGGUGUCCACUCACCCCAUUGAAUACCCAGCUCCCCUGACGGGCGCGUGAUUUAUUUCUGGAACCAGUCAUGGCACAGAUCACAAAGUCUCAUUCAGCGUGUCACUUUGGGCCAAAAAAUCAAAAUAAAUAAAAAAGCUUUAGGGCUGGAUGACAACCACACGUCAAUGGUUGUGCCCUGCAAUAUGGUCCUCCUUGUCAGGAUUCAAUUCAUUCAUUUUAAAUCACCGCCCACACUGGAACCACAGCCACUCCAGUUAUGGCUUAUGGAAAAGCACAAGGCCAUAUUGAAAGAAGAUGGUUUUCGCAUGUGCUUGUGCGAACACACCACAAAACACAGCAGAGCAACCCAAAGACUAGAGCGCUGAAGUGUUUCACACAUGUCUCAGCUCAACAAGAACAGGACAAAGUCCAAGUUUUGUAAAUGAGACCUUUUUUUUUCUUUUGAGGAAAGAAUGUUUCUCAAAGAUGAUGCAGGUUGAAGAGAUGGAGUGUUUUUCAUAAGAGACAGCAUCAAACAACUCAAAGUGGUGUCAUUUGCUUUAAGGCUACAACAUGGAAGACACAUGGAAACACACAAGCUCUUAACAUUUUGCUGAAAAUGGGAAGAUGAAUGGUAGGGAUUUCUUAAAGGUAGAUAAGACUAGGGUAUUGCCCACACAUCAUGUUCGCAUAGUGAAAACAAUAACUCUAACUUUCGGCAGAAUGGAGCCAGAAAGAAAACGCAUACAAAUAAAUGUUUGUGUGAUAAUGACAAUAUUUAAAGACACUGACCUGGAUUCAAUCAACAUUGAAUCCUUGUAAUAAAAUGAAAACUUUAGUAUUUAUAUACACAGUCCAGUUUAUUUGUCUUCAACCACACAGUUUGGCAAGUUCAGAAAUCAUCUAAAUGACCUCCAGACUAUGUCUGUUAAAGAAAACAACACAUGAUAUAUUGUAGAUGCUUUGCUUUCUCAAAUAAAAAGUGCUGUCAUUUCA